rnacentral:misc_RNA from 1 species
GAUGAAGAACGCAGUGAAAUGCGAUAAUUAAUGUGAAUUGCAGAAUCCAGUGAAUCAUCGAGUCUUUGAACGCACAUUGCGCCCCCUGGUAUUCCGGGGGGCAUGCCUGUCCGAGCGUCAUUGCUGCCCUCAAGCACGGCUUGUGUGUUGGGCUUCCGUCCCUGGCAACGGGGACGGGCCCAAAAGGCAGUGGCGGCACCAUGUCUGGUCCUCGAGCGUAUGGGGCUUUGUCACCCGCUCCCGUAGGUCCAGCUGGCAGCUAGCCUCGCAACCAAUCUUUUUAACCAGGUUGACCUCGGAUCAGGUAGGGAUACCCGCUGAACUUAAGCAUAUCAAUAAGCGGAGGA